rnacentral:rRNA from 1 species
CCUACGGGUGGCUGCAGUGAGGAAUAUUGGUCAAUGGCCGAGAGGCUGAACCAGCCAAGUCGCGUGAGGGAAGAAUGUCCUAUGGAUUGUAAACCUCUUUUGUCAGGGAGCAAAGUCACCCACGUGUGGGUGUUGGAGAGUACCUGAAGAAAAAGCAUCGGCUAACUACGUGCCAGCAGCCGCGGUAAUACGUAGGGGGCAAGCGUUAUCCGGAUUUACUGGGUGUAAAGGGAGCGUAGACGGCAGCACAAGUCUGGAGUGAAAUCCCGGGGCUUAACCCCGGAACUGCUUUGGAAACUGUGCGGCUGGAGUGCAGGAGGGGUAAGCGGAAUUCCUAGUGUAGCGGUGAAAUGCGUAGAUAUUAGGAGGAACACCGGUGGCGAAGGCGGCUUACUGGACUGUAACUGACGUUGAGGCUCGAAAGCGUGGGGAGCAAACAGGAUUAGAUACCCCUGUAGUC